CUCCUUCUCCAGACUGAUACAGGCCUCACGGAUGGCCAGCAGCUCAUAAUACAGCACCUGAGGAAGAAGGAGGAAGUUCUGCUUGAAGAGAUUUUUAAAAACAUGUCAUUGGACAAAAAUCUCUUUGUUACAAAAGGUUAACAGAUCUCACUUGAGAAUUUCUUCCCGACACUGCCUCUGUGUGGCGAAGCAGGCAAUGGCCCACAUCUUGAUCUCCACCCCGGUGUGGAACUGCUUUCCCCUCAUGUCCCACACCCCAUGGCUGGGAGUGGCUACGGUGCGGUUCUGGAACAACAUUAAAGUCUCAGCACGUGUUCUUUUGAUUGGGAGGAGAAAAACUCAAGUUUGAGAGACUUACGUCAACACAGCCAGAACAAGCAAGCAUGCAACGUCACACAAACAGCAUGAAACAAACAAAAAUAAAAUAAAAAAAA